UACGUAGGGGGCAAGCGUUGUCCGGAAUUAUUGGGCGUAAAGAGCGUGUAGGCGGUCCGGUAAGUCAGCUGUGAAAGUCAAGGGCUCAACCCUUGAAAGCCGGUUGAUACUGUCGGGCUAGAGUCCGGAAGAGGCGAGUGGAAUUCCCGGUGUAGCGGUGAAAUGCGCAGAUAUCGGGAGGAACACCAAUGGCGAAGGCAGCUCGCUGGGACGGUACUGACGCUGAGACGCGAA
rnacentral:rRNA from 1 species